rnacentral:rRNA from 1 species
CGCACGGGUGCGUAACGCGUGGGAAUCUGCCCCUGGGUUCGGAAUAACAGCGAGAAAUUGCUGCUAAUACCGGAUGAUGACAAAAGUCCAAAGAUUUAUCGCCCAGGGAUGAGCCCGCGUAGGAUUAGCUAGUUGUGAGGUAAGAGCUCACCAAGGCGACGAUCCUUAGCUGGUCUGAGAGGAUGAUCAGCCACACUGGGACUGAGACACGGCCCAGACUCCUACGGGAGGCAGCAGCC